rnacentral:piRNA from 1 species
UGAGAACUUAACCUUGUUAUGGGGGUC